rnacentral:ncRNA from 1 species
AGGAUAGAGGUGCGAAAUUUAUAAGUAAGACCUGACGGAUAUAUGGCGAUAUGCAGGGCUGAAAGGAAAUUUCGCCGAAAUGCGGCGCUUUUCGCCAAAGGCGGCGUAUUGGGACAUAGGAGAAUAUUCUGUGUACUGUCACAUUUUGUGGAGAGCUAUCG